UUCUGUUGUGGUCUCCGACUCCAUUGCUUUUAACGUCAGGAACUGCAACCACAUAAGGCCUUGGAUAUUGAGAUGAUACAGCACCUACAUGUCCUAGUAACUGUGAAUUCACAGGUGGAGUAAAAAGCCUUCCACCAGAGGACGAAUCAAUAUAAGAGGCUGAUCCAACUGCAUAUGUCGCAGAAGGAAGUGGGAAAGUGGUUCCAAAAGGGAACACAGGAUACUGGAAAGGCGAAGGUGGAAAUUGCACAGCAGGUGAUGAUGACAAUACUGAACCCCUGAAAACAUCUGGAGUGAAGGGGGUGUGCCUGUGAACCAGUAACAGACAGUUGCCUUGAUGCCAACGGAACUGACUCUUCUUUCCCAUCCAAAUCCAUAGCUCCAGGACCUGCAUUCAGAUCUAGACCUUGCCGGCUCCGCUUUCUGUUGUGGUCUCCGACUCCAUUGCUUUUAACGUCAGGAACUGCAACCACAUAAGGCCUUGGAUAUUGAGAUGAUACAGCACCUACAUGUCCUAGUAACUGUGAAUUCACAGGUGGAGUAAAAAGCCUUCCACCAGAGGACGAAUCAAUAUAAGAGGCUGAUCCAACUGCAUAUGUCGCAGAAGGAAGUGGGAAAGUGGUUCCAAAAGGGAACACAGGAUACUGGAAAGGCGAAGGUGGAAAUUGCACAGC
rnacentral:lncRNA from 1 species